UUUAUCAUAUGAAGAAUUUUUUUUAUUAUAUAAUUUUUUAAAAAGCUAUAAUGUUAACAAAAUUAUAAUUCUUAUUGGAUGUAGUUUAUAAAAACUUCAAAUUAUAGCAACAAAAUCUUUAAUUAUAACCUUUUAUCAAUUUCACCAAUUAAUGAUAUUAUCCAGAAAAGUCAAACAAAAAAUCGAUAGGAAAAAAGCACUAAGCGAAGUUUUAAAUUUUGGUAAUUAGAAAUAAAUUAAAUAAAAAUCAUUGAAAAUAUCGAAAUUUGAAUUAAUUAAAAAAUGAUUGUGCAAUCGUCGUAACCCCAUUAAAGCGCGAAUAAACACGAAGAUAUUCGGAUAACUUCGUAUUGCGUCGGAACUUUUCGUUCGAUUUCGCGCGAACGAAGUACGAGCGCGGGAAUCGUGUGCCACGAAUCUUUCGACGUGAGGUUGUGACCGAUCUUUGAUUUACAUAUUUUGUUUGUGUAAGUUUGUACGUGUAUAUAUUGCAUCGUGAUUCGUAUGAUGAUCCGAGUGAGUUCCCGGCAGUGAUGAUGAUACAGAAAUAGCGGUGCAUCUCGUUUUUACGGAUGUUGGGGAUUAAGAAAAGUUUGAGGAUCACUGGAAUCUUGGACGCAGGCUGAGAACUUCUGGGAAAUAAUAGCAGGGAUUGCAUUGACGCAUUCACGAUCUGAUCACCGCAAUCUCAAAGUUGUUCCACUCACCAGAUGAAACACAUCCGCAGCGAGGGAAAGCGAAAAAUGUGUGGAUCCAGUCGGAUAACCACUUGCACCGUGGUCCUCCUUAAAGUGGACGGGCCAGAGGAUGUCUAGCGACUGCUAAAUCGCGGAACAUUUCAAUUUCCAACGCGACUUGGACAUCACGUGACACAAGUUGGAAACUACGCCUCUGGCAUGGGGACAGAAGGGAUUCAGAAGCGACGAGGAUGGGGCGCCAGUUCGCCCGUUGCUCCGGAACAGGCAGCAAUAUUUUCAUAGAAUAUUUUCUUUUUUUUUUUUUUCGUGGAAGAAUAUUUUUUGGUUCUUAUCUGAGAUUUAUCAAAGGAUCGGUGAAGUUUGAUGAGAUAAGAAGAAAAGUUAUUUUUUAAGAUGGAGGAGAAUAUACUUUGGAAAUUGGAAAUUGGAAUUCAAGGUGAAGUUUGAGGUUUGGAGAUUUGUUUGAAAUUAUUUGGUGGAGAUUAAGGUGAAGUUGGGGAAUAUUUGGAUACUUUUGAAGAUUUGAAUAUGGUAUGGGAUGAAGUUUAGAUAAUUUGAAGAUUUGAAUUCGGUGUGGAAUGGAUUUUGGAUCCAUUUUGGAAUUUGAGAUUUUAAAUUGUAUUUUUGAUUUGGUGUUGAAAGCUUGAAUUUUAAGAAAUUUGGAUUUCUGUAUUUGAAAAUUGAGAUUUUUGUAAUACUAAAAUUUAGAAAAUAGAUUUAAGCUUUGAUAAUUUGCUCCUAUACUUUGAACUUUAAAUUUCAAAGUCUUUCUUCAUUUUAAUGAUUCAAAUCUUCUUUAUUAAAAAUGAGAUUAAUUAAUUUCAAUUAAAACAAUCAAUAGUCACAAAGAAACAUGAUUUAUCCUUCAAGGAUUUUCAAGGAUGUUUAUAAAAGAAGAUGUGCACAGAUUUGGCGAUGAGAAUCAUAUAAAUAUCUAUUAACCGUCAACUUUGGUAGAGAACGUAUCGAUUGACCCACAAAGGGGAUCACAAUCAUGCGAACGCCGAACAGAAAUUAUAAAGAUUGCCAUUUAUUAAAGGUAACAAGCCCGUUGAAAGACACUUUAUAUCCCAAUAUUACUUGCUAUUUUUUAUAAUUUAUUUAAUUAAAUUAAAUUAAUAACU
rnacentral:lncRNA from 1 species